rnacentral:rRNA from 1 species
GACAGAGGGUGCAAACGUUGUUCGGAAUUACUGGGCGUAAAGCGAGUGUAGGCGGUGUGGUAAGUCGGAUGUGAAAGCCCCGGGCUCAACCCGGGAAGUGCACUCGAUACUGCCACGCUAGAGUAUCGGAGAGGUUGGUGGAAUUCUCGGUGUAGAGGUGAAAUUCGUAGAUAUCGAGAGGAACACCGGUGGCGAAGGCGGCCAACUGGACGAAUACUGACGCUGAGACUCGAAAGCGUGGGGGAGCAAACAGG